rnacentral:rRNA from 1 species
GACAGAGGCCCCAAGCGUUAGGCGGAAUCACUGGGCUUAAAGCGUGUGUAGGCGGAUCGUUAAGUGUCUUGUGAAAUCCCACGGCUCACCCGUGGAACUGCUGGGCAUACUGGCGAUCUUGGGCCAACUAGGGGCAGCCGGAACAAGCGGUGGAGCGGUGAAAUGCGUAGAUAUCAGGAGGAACACCUGCGGUGUAGACGGCUUACUGGACCAUAACUGACGCUGAGGCACGAAAGCGUGGGUAGCAAACAGG